UUAAAGUCAAAAUUAUGACUUCCUGUUGGUCUUUUAUUUUUUCCUUCAUGGUGGAAAUGGGCUUCCAUAAUAACUCGCAAAAAGGAAAAAAAUAAAUUCUGGUCAGGAGUAUGUAAACAUGGCAUGAAACUUUUUGCCUUUGGUCUGGUCUUCAAACUUUCUCGUCCUUUUUUCCCCCCCUCACAGAUCUGCUGUGUAUAACACUGCAUGUGGCAGUAUUUUCUUCUUUUCAGACACUGUCUUCACAACAUUUGCCAGGUCAUCAAAAAGCUCCCACACAAAUGGAGCUCUCCGGCAGUAUGCAGUGUAAUGUCCCAGUCCAUCUUUGGUCAAGCUUCCCCUGAAAGCGACGACUGCUCUCAAAGUAAAUUUUUUUCCUUGCAGAACCAUAGUGGAGGGAAAUUCACUCAAAGCAAAUUCAGUUGAAUUUGGAAGGUCUGUGUCAAUCCAUGCUAUUUCUCCGAUACUGUAGUUGUGAGUAACGGUUCCUGCACAGAGAGCAUUUCCUGAAGUGCUGGCUCCUGUUUUUAAUUCUGCUGGACAUUCUGAUUCAUUCUGCAGUGGUCUGAGGCAGGGAGACUGUGGAAGGAAGAGUCCUUUUUCUAUGGAAGUGUGAAGCUGAGCCAUACCAGAAUUCUUCAGGACAGAAAUGUCUGGUGAAACAAAUGGUACUUCCCUGGUCAUUCCUUUGUUUAGGUGGCAGUAUUGUGAAGAGCAGUGUUUUGAGAGGUAAACACUUGACACAUUUCUCAUUGUCUUCCCAAUAACAGUGGCAAUAUUGCACUGUGCAUCGAUUUGGUGAGUGCCAGACCUUAACUGUGUUUUUGCAAACAUUGAACUAAGCAGAUCUGCCCUCUGCAAGUAUGUCCUUGGGGUCACACCAUCUGUAGUUAUGGAUUUCACCAGCUGCAGGAGAGGGUUGUCACUGUUAUUCAUGACAACAUUUUGAAAUGCAGAGCUGUCACAGAAAGUACAGCAUAAGCACUGACAAAAGGCAUCGAAGGCGCAGGUGUUUAACACAGAGAUUGACAGUUUACCAACAGUUGUCUCCCUUCAGAACACCUUGGUAUAAGAAGAUGUGGCCAGAUGUACCAUUUGGUCUUGUCAGUUUUCUGACAACUGAACCAGUUGCAUCAAAGCAAACUACUGAGGGACAUUUUUUGGUUGCCAGGUUUGGAAGGUGACUUGGCUCGGGAUCUCCAAUAUCCAUCAACUCUGAUGCCUUUGCUGACCUCCAUACAGAUGGUUCCAUCCUGCCCUCACACAACUCUUCUGAAAUCUGUGCACGAAGGGUUCCUGACAUGAAUCUUUUGGACUGGCCAGUGUGCAGCGAGAUGUCGGCGCCUUCAAUGGAACACUGGAGCACCAUUGGGCUGUUGACCGUUGGCUCUCUGUCACAUGUCAUUUUAACACGACUUUGACACUCUUUACAGAAACCUGUGAUGUCAAUGUACUUACUAGUGACAGUUGGAUAAACUUUUGCUCUUUGGAAUACAAAUGUACAAGUGCUUUUCAACUUUUUCCAAACCAGAUCAUUAAUUAUAUGACUCCAUGUGCCAGGUUUUAAAA